rnacentral:rRNA from 1 species
AUCAUGGCUCAGAUUGAACGCUGGCGGCAGGCCUAACACAUGCAAGUCGAACGGUAACAGGAAACAGCUUGCUGUUUCGCUGACGAGUGGCGGACGGGUGAGUAAUGUCUGGGAAACUGCCUGAUGGAGGGGGGAUAACUACUGGAAACGGUAGCUAAUACCGCAUAACGUCGCAAGACCAAAGAGGGGGGACCUUCGGGCCUCUUGCCAUCGGAUGUGCCCAGAUGGGAUUAGCUAGUAGGUGGGGG